UACCAGCCUCUGCAGCUCCCGGAUCUCCUGAACCACGGCUGAAUCCUCCCUGGCUCUGUUCUCCUCCCGUGCGUCUCCUGUUCACCCUCCAACAACCCGCCUCACUGCUCCGAACCUCCACAUCGACCCACAGCCCCGGUACCGGCUCACCUCUCCCACGCUCCGCUACAACCAAAUCUCAUGAUCCAAUCUCUAGCUCCGGAACCAGCCCAUCCCUGCCAGCCUCCGCUCACCUCUAAUAAACUAUUUUUUACUACA